rnacentral:rRNA from 1 species
AACGAACGCUGGCGGCGUGCUUAACACAUGCAAGUCGAACGGGAUUGGAAGCUUGCUUCCAUGAGAGUGGCGCACGGGUGAGUAACGCGUGGAUAACCUGCCCUGGUAUCUGGAAUAACAUCGCGAAAGUGGUGCUAAUACCGGAUAAGCUCACGACUCCUUCGGGAGACGCGAGAAGAGGUGGCCUCUGAAUAUGCUACCGUAUCAGGAUGGGUCCGCGUACCAUUAGCUAGUUGGUGGGGUAAUGGCCUACCAAGGCUACGAUGGUUAGCUGGUCUGAGAGGAUGAUCAGCCACACUGGAACUGAGACACGGUCCAGACUCCUACGGGAGGCAGCAGUGGGGAAUUUUGCGCAAUGGGUGAAACCCUGACGCAGCAACGCCGCGUGAGAGAUGAAGGCCUUCGGGUCGUAAAGCUCUGUCAGAGGGGAAGAAGUGUAGUGGUGCUAAUACCAUCAUUGCUUGACGGUACCCUCAAAGGAAGCACCGGCUAACUCCGUGCCAGCAGCCGCAGUAAGAC